CACUUCACGCUGCAUGCUAUUGCUUAUACCUCUCAACAGCUGCUACGUGGAGUGGAG
rnacentral:pre_miRNA from 1 species